GAUGAACGCUGACAGAAUGCUUAACACAUGCAAGUCUACUUGAAUUUAGGUUUUUUAACUUCGAUUUGGGUGGCGGACGGGUGAGUAACGCGUAAAGAACUUGCCUCACAGUUAGGGACAACAUUUGGAAACGAAUGCUAAUACCUAAUAUUAUGAUUUUAGGGCAUCCUAUAAUUAUGAAAGCUAUAAGCGCUGUGAGAGAGCUUUGCGUCCCAUUAGCUAGUUGGAGAGGUAACGGCUCACCAAGGCGAUGAUGGGUAGCCGGCCUGAGAGGGUGAUCGGCCACAAGGGGACUGAGACACGGCCCUUACUCCUACGGGAGGCAGCAGUGGGGAAUAUUGGACAAUGGACCAAGAGUCUGAUCCAGCAAUUCUGUGUGCACGAUGAAGUUUUUCGGAAUGUAAAGUGCUUUCAGUUGGGAAGAAAAAAAUGACGGUACCAACAGAAGAAGUGACGGCUAAAUACGUGCCAGCAGCCGCGGUAAUACGUAUGUCACGAGCGUUAUCCGGAUUUAUUGGGCGUAAAGCGCGUCUAGGUGGUUAUAUAAGUCUGAUGUGAAAAUGCAGGGCUCAACUCUGUAUUGCGUUGGAAACUGUAUAACUAGAGUACUGGAGAGGUAAGCGGAACUACAAGUGUAGAGGUGAAAUUCGUAGAUAUUUGUAGGAAUGCCGAUGGGGAAGCCAGCUUACUGGACAGAUACUGACGCUGAAGCGCGAAAGCGUGGGUAGCAAACAGG
rnacentral:rRNA from 1 species